UCACAUGGUUUUAUUGAAUUACAGGAUCAGGGAGCAUGGGACCCCGAUUCCUUGUCUCUAGAGUUGGGACUUGCAACGUUACGAGAGUUGGAAUGUAUCAGAUAUCAGGAAGCACAAGAAGACUGGAGAAAGAGUGAUGAUAACAAGUCUGAUUCCUGCAAGCAAAAAGAUAAGGAUCAGGGAGCAUGGGACCCCGAUUCCUUGUCUCUAGAGUUGGGACUUGCAACGUUACGAGAGUUGGAAUGUAUCAGAUAUCAGGAAGCACAAGAAGACUGGAGAAAGAGUGAUGAUAACAAGUCUGAUUCCUGCAAGCAAAAAGAUAAGGAGCAGGAAGCAUGGGAUCCCGAUUCCUUGUCUCUAGAGUUGGGACUUGCACCGUUACAAGAGUUGGAAUGGAUCAGAUAUCAGGAAGCACAAGAAGACUGGAGAAGGAGUGAUGAUAACAAGUCUGAUUCCUGCAAGCUAAGAGAUAAGACAACAUCAGAUGACCGGAGCAAGAGUGGCGAUAACAAGUACGAUUCCUGCAAGACAAGAGAUAAGAAACCUAUCGUGGAUUUGGCUGAUGAAUUCGAAAACAAUACCAUAAAAAAAAAGAUCACGCUUCUUAGCGAAAAAUACGAUUUCUUCAGACCAGUUGACAGAGAUGGCAGUUGCUUUUAUCGAGCUUUCAUUUUCAGUUACAUGGAGCGUAUUGUAGCAAUGCAGGAUGACUUGGAGCGCAUUAUUGAAGUUUCCCGUAUCGGAGAACGUAUUGGAAAAUACAAGCAAGCUUAUGCAAGAUUUGGUUCUUUUGGAAUACCUCAAGAAGAAUUCUUGAAAGCUCUUUCUGCAUUUGAACAAUUGAUCAACUUAAUUGAAAAGGGUGUUGCUGUUGAACAACUAUAUCAGAUAGAUGAGACUGACAUCACAAAAAACAGUUUACGCUUCCUUAGGUUUCUGACUGAGAUUGAGAUCUGCACACAUGAGGACCACUACAAGGGUUUUCUUCUAACAGCAGAUUAUUCAUCUGUUUUUGAGUUUUGCCAGGUUGAAGUGCGACCUGAGAAUGCUGAAGCGAGCAAUGAACAGAUGAAGGCACUUGUGGAAGCACUCGGCAUCCCCGUACUUGUGGAGAAUCUCGAUACAACCUCGGAGACUGACACCCCCAUACUAAAUCAGCAUUUCAUCUACCCCAGACCAGAAUCAGAAGAGGGCACGAUGUUGGGACCUCUGAAUUCGCAUGAGAUUGUCUCUCCUGAAAGCAGUGGUUACCAUGCAGCUAGAGGUGAGCUUCAGAAUCAGCCUAGUACCAGUGGCUCCAGUACAAACAGCUCAACAGAAGCAUUGGGACUGCAAUCAAUUGGCACCAGUUCAACUCCUAAUGAGCGAGAUGGAAAGGGAGACAGGACCAUCAACGACCUAUCCCCAGCAGAAAGAAGGCGGUUAGCGAUCUUGCUGUACAGGCCUGGGCACUAUGACAUUCUUUGUCCCAAGUAGACCUACCUUUCUCUGGAGUCUGGAAUACGUAGUGUGCUUGAUUCUCGACGGUAACAUUUGAGCUGUGGCUUGUAACUUUGUUCUGCCUGACCUGAGCCGUAGAGCUAUUCAUGUCCUUGACUUGUAUGGAGAUCUGUUGUUGCUAUUCAUCCCGUUGUCACAUAGCGUGUUGGUGUAGAUUUUUCUGCCCAAAUUGCGUAUUUGCGUUGGUGAGAAAUGCGGGCUAAAUUGCUUUGUGUUGUUUGGAGGUAUGGUUUUAGUGGAAGCCGAGCUUGAUU
rnacentral:lncRNA from 1 species